rnacentral:rRNA from 2 species
GCGGAGGAAAAGAAACCAACCGGGAUUGCCCUAGUAACGGCGAGUGAAGCGGCAACAGCUCAAAUUUGAAAUCUGGAGCCUUUGGCUUCCGAGUUGUAAUUUGCAGAGGGAGCCUCGGAGGGCGAGACGGUCCAAGUGCCUUGGAACAGGAUACCGCAGAGGGUGAGAGUCCCGUAUCCGGCCGAUCUUGCGCUCCGUGUGAGGCCCCUUCGACGAGUCGAGUUGUUUGGGAAUGCAGCUCCAAGCGGGUGGUAAAUUCCAUCUAAAGCUAAAUACUGGCCAGAGACCGAUAGCGAACAAGUAGAGUGAUCGAAAGAUGAAAAGCACUUUGAAAAGAGAGUCAAACAGUACGUGAAAUUGUUGAAAGGGAAGCGCAUGGGGGCAGAUUUGGACGCGGGGUUCAGCGUUUCGAUUUUGGAGCGUGUACUUCCCCGCGUGCAGGCCAGCAUCGGUUCCGGGGGCCGGACAAAGACGUUGGGAAUGUGGCUCCCCUCGGGGAGUGUUAUAGCCCGGCGUGCAAUGCGGCCACCUGGGACCGAGGACCGCGCC